rnacentral:rRNA from 1 species
GACGAACGCUGGCGGCGUGCUUAACACAUGCAAGUCGAACGGUAAGGCCCUUCGGGGUACACGAGUGGCGAACGGGCGAGUAACACGUGGGUGAUCUGCCCUGCACUUCGGGAUAAGCCUGGGAAACUGGGUCUAAUACCGGAUAGGACUCCGGACUGCAUGGUCAGGGGUGGAAAGCUUUUGCGGUGGGGGAUGGGCCCGCGGCCCAACAGCUUGUUGGUGGGGUGAUGGCCUACCAAGGCGACGACGGGUAGCCGGCCUGAGGGGGUGUCCGGCCACACUGGGACUGAGAUACGGCCCAGACUCCUACGGGAGGCAGCAGUGGGGAAUAUUGCACAAUGGGCGCAAGCCUGAUGCAGCGACGCCGCGUGAGGGAUGACGGCCUUCGGGUUGUAAACCUCUUUCAGCAUCGACGAAGCGAAAGUGACGGUAGGUGCAGAAGAAGGACCGGCCAACUACGUGCCAGCAGCCGCCGUAA